rnacentral:rRNA from 1 species
UAUAAUAAAUUGUUUUGAUUAAAUUUUAUAUGAAAGUCAAUUAUAAAGUUUAAAUAUAUUGGCGGUGUUUAAAAUUUUCUGAGAAUCUUGCUUAUUUAAUAUGAUAUUACACAAUUUAUUCUUUCCUUAAUUUUUGUUUGGUUUAUGUAUUGCUGUUUAAUUUAUUAUUUGAUAAAAUUAAUAUAAAUAGAAAUAGGUUUUAUGAAAAAAGAAUUAAAAAUUUCAAGUCAAGAUGUAGUUUUAUUAAGGAAUAAGUGAGUUGCUUUUAUUUAGAAAAAUUGAAUUAAAUUUAUUAGAUUGAAAUAAAUUUAAAUGUAGAAGGAUUAGGAAGUAAAAAGAAAUUAGUAAGUUCUUUUGAUGAAUUUUAUAAACAUGU